GAUGAACGCUGGCGGCGUGCCUAAUACAUGCAAGUCGAGCGAACAGACGAGGAGCUUGCUCCUUCGACGUUAGCGGCGGACGGGUGAGUAACACGUAGGUAACCUACCUAUAAGACUGGGAUAACUUCGGGAAACCGGAGCUAAUACCGGAUAAUAUUUCGAACCGCAUGGUUCGAUAGUGAAAGAUGGCAUUGCUAUCACUUAUAGAUGGACCUGCGCCGUAUUAGCUAGUUGGUAAGGUAACGGCUUACCAAGGUAACGAUACGUAGCCGACCUGAGAGGGUGAUCGGCCACACUGGAACUGAGACACGGUCCAGACUCCUACGGGAGGCAGCAGUAGGGAAUCUUCCGCAAUGGGCGAAAGCCUGACGGAGCAACGCCGCGUGAGUGAUGAAGGUCCUCGGAUCGUAAAACUCUGUUAUUAGGGAAGAACAAACGUGUAAGUAACUGUGCACGUCUUGACGGUACCUAAUCAGAAAGCCACGGCUAACUACGUG
rnacentral:rRNA from 1 species